rnacentral:tRNA from 1 species
CUUUUCACUUAGUAGUAGAAUAAUGCCAUGUUAAGACAUAAGUCAUCGGUUCGAAUCCGAUAAGG